UACGUAGGGGGCUAGCGUUGUCCGGAAUCAUUGGGCGUAAAGAGCGUGUAGGCGGUCCGGUAAGUCCGCUGUGAAAUCUCGAGGCUCAACUUCGAGCUGUCGGUGGAAACUAUCUGGCUAGAGUCCGGAAGAGGAGAAUGGAAUUCCUGGUGUAGCGGUGAAAUGCGCAGAUAUCAGGAGGAACACCGGUGGCGAAGGCGGGUCUCUGGGCCGAUACUGACGCUGAGGAGCGAAAGCGUGGGGAGCAAACAGG
rnacentral:rRNA from 1 species